rnacentral:rRNA from 1 species
GAACGAAGCACUUUGAUCGAUUUCUUCGGAUUGAAAUUUUAGUGACUGAGUGGCGGACGGGUGAGUAACGCGUGGGUAACCUGCCUCACACAGGGGGAUAACAGUUGGAAACGGCUGCUAAUACCGCAUAAGCGCACAGUACCGCAUGGUACGGUGUGAAAAACUCCGGUGGUGUGAGAUGGACCCGCGUCUGAUUAGCUAGUUGGCAGGGCAACGGCCUACCAAGGCGACGAUCAGUAGCCGACCUGAGAGGGUGACCGGCCACAUUGGGACUGAGACACGGCCCAAACUCCUACGGGAGGCAGCAGUGGGGAAUAUUGCACAAUGGGGGAAACCCUGAUGCAGCGACGCCGCGUGAGCGAAGAAGUAUUUCGGUAUGUAAAGCUCUAUCAGCAGGGAAGAAGAAACGACGGUACCUGACUAAGAAGCACCGGCUAAAUACGUGCCAGCAGCCGCGGUAAUACGUAUGGUGCAAGCGUUAUCCGGAUUUACUGGGUGUAAAGGGAGCGCAGGCGGAAGGCUAAGUCUGAUGUGAAAGCCCGGGGCUCAACCCCGGUACUGCAUUGGAAACUGGUCAUCUAGAGUGUCGGAGGGGUAAGUGGAAUUCCUAGUGUAGCGGUGAAAUGCGUAGAUAUUAGGAGGAACACCAGUGGCGAAGGC